rnacentral:rRNA from 1 species
UACAGAGGUCUCAAGCGUUGUUCGGAUUCAUUGGGCGUAAAGGGUGCGUAGGCGGCGCGGUAAGUCGGGUGCGAAAUCUCGGAGCUUAACUCCGAAACUGCAUUCGAUACUGCCGUGCUUGAGGACUGGAGAGGAGACUGGAAUUUACGGUGUAGCGGUGAAAUGCGCAGAUAUCAGGAGGAACACCGGUGGCGAAGGCGGGUCUCUGGGCCGAUACUGACGCUGAGGAGCGAAAGCGUGGGGAGCGAACAGG